rnacentral:lncRNA from 1 species
GUAAGGGCAGAGUGUGUCUGCACCUGCUGUGGCAAUAGCCUUGCCCUUGAAACAGCAGCUGCUGGACGCUUUCUAAAUACUCUUUCUCAAGUGUUCUUCAUCUCAGCACCAAAUCAACAUCCUAUCACUUUAUUGUAUGAUAAUUCACUCACAUUCAAAAGAGCCUUUCUCCUGAAUUAAGUUGAAUUGUUUUCCCAAGGCUUCAGAGUCUUAUGUAAAUGUGCUCCCCCUGCUGGCUUUGAUGCAGAAAUUCACAGACAGGCCCCUCUGCCUCAGGGAGGAAGCACCCCAUACUGGAACAGAAAAUACCAUGGUUACUUUACCCACUGAGAGUCCAAGUGAAGACCCAACUGGGAGCGUCACUCAGGAGCAAUAAACAAAGCAGAGAAGGGAUUUCAUUUCAGAAACUUCCUUGAUCAUCACAGAUGACAUAGAACCAAACUGUAACUUUCUAGACUACAUGUAGCAGACAUUUUAUUUUAGUUCAAACAUUGAAGCCCUACCUUUAUAUUUUCUAAAUUCAGAUUUUUAUCAUAAUUUAGUAAAGUUAGUAAGACUAGAGGAAAACUGGUUACCUCCAAAAAUAAAACCUUGAAGGCACAAGAGCAGCCUUGGGGAGAAGGGAUUUCUAACCGUCACUCUUUCCUGUCAAGAGAAAGAGCAGUGACAACAGUAGGCUUCAGAGAAAAACAGUUUUCAAGAAGUUGCUUUAACUAGCCAUUGGCCUGCUGGGGCAGUCUAUAAUUUGGAAUCCAGGAGGCUUAGGCUGCAAGAUGGCUGCCACCUGCUCCCAGCCCUGGCUGCAAGCCAGGACUGCCCUCUAGCUGUAGAGCACUGAGCUCCUUGACAGGGCUUCAUGGUCCCAUUUCCCAUCGCUAAACCUCACUUGACUUUAUAAAGAAAAAGUUGUUUUGUUUUGUUUUUUUUAAUUUCCAUUUUAUUUUUCCUUUUCCUUUUCUGAUUAUAUAGAUAUAAUACAUGUGACUUAAGGAUACAGACAUCACAGAAAUAUAAGUUGUAGAAGAUUCUCUCCCCCAACUUAUGCAUUUUCUGAAAUAUUUUACAAAAUUUUACCUGUAGUAGUUAGUUACUAUGAACAUUUUCAAUCAUGUGCUUGUCUCAAACCAUCAGUGUCCUGGGCUGUUUCUAAUCACUCAGACUUGGUCUCUCAUCCAUGAGAAAAUAGUCUCUGGUGAGUCUCAGUCUUCUGCCUGAGCGGGUGGCCAACCAUGAUUCAGAGAGCCCGGCCCCUGGUGGGGUUGUCACAGGCUGCCUUGGCCUUCUUAAACAGAAGAAUCUUGCAUACACACUCCCAGGCAGCAGAGUUGAAUUAUAAAACUUUGUGUUUAGGAAACACACAAGACAGCUCAUCACCAUUCCUGCAGAGCCUGCCCAAACACCAGGAAGUGCUAUGAGGGCUAUUCUGAAACAAAUUACUAACACCAACUAAAUCAGAAGUUUUUAGACUGUGUGGCAGUCGGGCCUUGGUGCUUAAAUAUGGAAAGUCGUGUGCUCAAGUACAGGGGCGUAAGGGACAAGUCCUUGAAGCUGUGCUGAGUCUUAGUCGUGCUGUGGGGCCUCUGUGCACCUCAGAAGGUGACUGCACAGUGCCACUUUCCAUCACUUCUCUUUUACCUUUUGCUAAGUAAAGAAAAAGCUUUUUGCCAGGCAGUGGUGGCACACACCUUUAAUCCCAGCACUCAGGAGUCAGAGACAGGUAGAUCUCUGAGUUCAAGGCCAGUCUAGUCUACAAAGCUAAUUCCAGGACAGCCAAGACUAUACAAAGAAACCCUAUCUUAAAAAACAAAAGGGGCUGGAAAGAUGGCCCAGCGAUUAAGAGCACGACUAUUCUUCCAGAAUUCCCAGCAACUACAUGGUGGCUUACAACCAUCAGCAGUGGGAUCCAGUGCCCACUUCUGGUAUACAUGAAGACAGUGACAGUGUGCUCAUAUACAUUAAAAAAAAACAUAUAUACACACACACAAACACAUUUUCAUCUUAUUUUUUCCAUUUCUUUUUCUGAUUAUACAAACAGCAUCCAUGAUUUUAAAAAUGCAAAUAUCACAGAAAUAUAAAUUAUAAAAGAUACUCUCCCUACAACCUAUGCAUUUUCUAUUAUAUUAAUUUUACUACCAGUAGUUAAUUAGUAUUAACAUUUUCUAUUACAUACCUCCAGAUAUUUUCUAUUUACUUGCUAACUGAACUUUAAAACAACAGAAGCAAACUAUGUGUUUUAGCACAGUCUUUUCUAGGUCUUGGGCAUCUUUUCAUGUCUUGGACUUCCAUGUUAAUGGCAUCUUAUGGUUUGAUUUUAUUAGCACCUAAGCUCUAAGUUGAAGGCCUUCUUGCUAGUAGUAUGGCUUUUCUCUUUGCUAGAAGGAAUCUGGUCACUGCAGGUUUAGUUGGCAGGCCAUCUGGCAUAGUAGUCAUACAGAUUAGCACAGUUAGCAGGAACUCUCUAGACUAGGUUCUAUUCUCAGAAUUUCUGACUUCAGAGCUCCCACUGACCUUCUUGUAGGUAGGCUGACAUAAGGAAUCAAGUAGAGGCCUGAUCACAGGAUUACUAAGCCUGUGUAUAUGGCAUUCUCAAGUCUUGAUAGAUUUCCUCAAAGGUUAUGACCAUAUUCACUUACUGAAGAUACGUAAAUGAACUCUAGGGAUGUAGCUCAGUGGUGGAGCUCUGGCUCUGCAUGUACAAGGACCUGGGCUUCAUCUCUUAUACC